UACGGGGGGGGCAAGCGUUGUUCGGAAUUACUGGGCGUAAAGGGUUCGUAGGUGGCCAACUAAGUCAGACGUGAAAUCCCUCAGCUUAACUGGGGAACUGCGUCUGAGACUGGAUGGCUUGAGUGCAGGAGAGGAACGCGGAAUUCCAGGUGUAGCGGUGAAAUGCGUAGAUAUCAGGAAGAACACCGGUGGCGAAGGCGGCAUCCUGGACCAAUUCUGACGCUGAGGAGCGAAAGCCAGGGGAGCAAACGGG
rnacentral:rRNA from 1 species